CCCUCCGAGGGGUGCUGCAGCGGGUUUGAUGACCAUUCCCCCGCCAGGCUCGGAGCCAUCAUCAGUUUCAACGGCACCCAUUCAUU
rnacentral:ncRNA from 2 species